rnacentral:rRNA from 1 species
UACGGGGGGAGCAAGCGUUGUUCGGAUUUACUGGGCGUAAAGGGCGCGUAGGCGGUCAGCACAAGUCAGUUGUGAAAUCUCCGGGCUUAACUCGGAAAGGUCAACUGAUACUGUGCGUCUAGAGUGCAGAAGGGGCAACUGGAAUUCUCGGUGUAGCGGUGAAAUGCGUAGAUAUCGAGAGGAACACCUGCGGCGAAGGCGGGUUGCUGGGCUGACACUGACGCUGAUGCGCGAAAGCCAGGGGAGCGAACGGG